rnacentral:rRNA from 1 species
GAUGAACGCUGGCGGCGUGCCUAAUACAUGCAAGUCGAGCGAACAGACGAGGAGCUUGCUCCUCUGACGUUAGCGGCGGACGGGUGAGUAACACGUGGAUAACCUACUUCUAAGACUGGGAUAACUUCGGGAAACCGGAGCUAAUACCGGAUAAUAUAUUGAACCGCAUGGUUCAAUAGUGAAAGACGGUUUUGCUGUCACUUAUAGAUGGAUCCGCGCCGCAUUAGCUAGUUGGUAAGGUAACGGCUUACCAAGGCAACGAUGCGUAGCCGACCUGAGAGGGUGAUCGGCCACACUGGAACUGAGACACGGUCCAGACUCCUACGGGAGGCAGCAGUAGGGAAUCUUCCGCAAUGGGCGAAAGCCUGACGGAGCAACGCCGCGUGAGUGAUGAAGGUCUUCGGAUCGUAAAACUCUGUUAUUAGGGAAGAACAAAUGUGUAAGUAACUAUGCACGUCUUGACGGUACCUAAUCAGAAAGCCACGGCUAACUACGUG